GGGGGUUUGGCUCAGUGGUAGAGCGCUUGCCUAGCAAGCACAAGGCCCUGGGUUCGGUCCCCAGCUCCG
rnacentral:tRNA from 1 species